AAACUCAAGUUGGAGUUCCCUUUACUCCAAGUUUGAAAGUAUAUGAUGGGAAACCUCUGCUGCUAGUUCAUGAAUACCUCUAACUUCAUAAUGACAUGAGUUUGAAGUUAAGGGUUUACAUGAACUGGGAGACGAGGUUACCUUAAUCUUUUGGUAUUGGAGUGAAGGGAGCUCCAAAGAGUCUUCUC
rfam:Cajanus cajan Scaffold000172_13, whole genome shotgun sequence.